UCUCCGUAGGUGAACCUGCGGAGGGAUCAUUACUGAGUGAGGGUCUCCGGGCCCGACCUCCAACCCUUUUGUGAACCACCUCGUUGCUUCGGGGGCGACCCUGCCGUUCGCGGCGUGGGGCCCCCGGUGGACCACUCCAAACACUGCAUCUUUAGCGUCUGAGUCAGAUAUUGAAUCAAUCAAAACUUUCAACAACGGAUCUCUUGGUUCUGGCAUCGAUGAAGAACGCAGC
rnacentral:misc_RNA from 1 species